CGGGGGCAAGGCACACGGAGUCAGUGUUUUGGCAGUCAUUCACUCAUUGUACCUUGUAAACAUUGAGGUGCAGGAGACUUGUUGACAGACUGAACAGGACAGUGAACGAUCCAAGCCCUCAUCAUCCAUGCUCUGAGAUGGACAGUCAUACAUUGGGGGUGGCCGAGACAACCUGCUGCUGUGAAUGAACUUGAGAAAUAAGGCUGUGACCCAACAAACAUCCCCACCACGACUAACUCCCUCGCCCAUGGACGGGAAUCCUAACACUGGUGUUGUCCCAGAGACUCUGUACUAAAAAGAAGAUGGGGCCAGAGGCUCCUGUAUAUGGGGGACCUCUGUAUGUGUCUAGAGGCUAUAUUUCUGGCUCUGUUCAUUUGUUUUGAAUUUUCCCUCUCGUUUUUUGGUUUUGUCUCGUGGACUGUGAGUAGCCUGUCUGUUGACCCACAAGACAGGACAUGUAAGGCACAGUACUUACACCCUCCUCAAAAGAUUAGUCAACAACCCCCCCCAAACACACAGCACGCAUAUAUUAUUUAUUUACUUACAUGAGUAUGGAUGGGUCGAAGUUUGUUUGUGUAAAAGCAGACACCAUGAUAGUUUCAGUAACACAUUCGCUAGCAAACCAUUUAAAAUAAUCCAAUCCCUACCUCAGAAAGAGCAAGGCCGCAUACUGAGUAAUGUAUGUAUAUUUAGGUUGUAUUUAUUUUGGAAUGCUUCAUAAAGACCAACCCAAAGCCUUACGGUCUUUACUGUGGUUGUAUUUGUAAGGCACAACAAAGACAAUCUGAUUUAUUCUCCUGCUAUUAAAGUAUUUUCUUAAUUCUAAUUUCAUGCAAUAUGAUACUAUUUAAGAGCAUUUAUUACUAGUUCCAGUUAUGAGAUGAGAAAUAUUUUUUUAAGUACAUUCAUGUAGUAAGAAUGCAAAGAUGUUGGUCUGUGUACUUCCUAGUAGUAGUCGGAACCUAAACUAACCCAGGCAUUUACUGUAUUUGCAAUGCAUUACCCAUAAUCCCUAGCUGUAACCUGAUUACAUGAUAGAACAUCUCAAUGAUUUAGUUUUUGGGGUAGAACCACACGAUUUUGGGGUCAUUGGGAUUGCCGCAGUCACUGCUGGCGUAAGCAGGAGGAGUACAUAGUGCCAGGGUCCUGUUCAUUAGGCACCAAACGGAAGAAAAUGGACUGAAACAAGGGAAGACUACUUGGACAUAUACUGUAAAUGUUUGGUGCCCUAAUGAUUUACUACCCAGUUUUCACAACUCGUUAGAUUGUAACACACUAGAGACACAUCUGAAUGUAGUAGAAACGACCAUUGAAAAUUAAGUGGGAGGGGGAGACAUUUAUCAAACUGUAUUAUUUAAUAUGUACUACACUUAUGAAGUAUUUCCUCAAAGGCUUUUUUUGUGUAGAUUAUGUACAUAAGAGUUUAUCUGAAAUAGGAUUUCGAUUGUGAAGAUACAUUUAGUCAUGUUGCAAUGAAAUUACUAAACAAUGUAAAGAAAAUAUUUUUGAAAAUUAUGUUUUUGGAUUGUAAAAUGUAUGACUUUACCCCCUCACAUUUACUUGUGAAUAAGUCUAUAAUAUUUAAAAAGAGAAUUACCUUCAGUAUAUAUUUAGUUAUCUUUGCCUUGUUGACAACACUUUCACUAUUGAAUAUGCCAUAUGGGUAAACACAUUAACUUAGUGUAACCAAAUGUACACAUUGUGUUGAUUUAUAUUUUAAGUUUUUUAACAAAGGAAACUAUUUUGAUCUUUGUAUACCUUUCUACCUACUUUUUAUGCUUUUUUUUGUCACUGGAGACAUAUAGUGUAUAUAUAUAUAUAUAUAUAUUCAACAGUGCGCUCACUUUUAGUGUAUGUCUACUGUUUCUUACUCGAGAAGAUUGAAAUGUGAACUAUACUGAGAUGGCACAGAUUGAACAUGUCUUCAUAACUGAUUGAUGCUAAAGAGAUUUUUAAUUGUAUUAGUCACCAACUAACACUUUUUUGUUGUCUCAAAUGGCAUCCUAUUUCCUAUGUAGUGUACUACUUUUGACCAUGGCCCAAUAGGGCUCUGGUCAAAAGUAGUGCACUAUGUAGGAAAUAAGGUGGCAUUUGGGACUCAUGGACAAACUCAUGUAAUGGGUUGAAAUGAAAAGAGAACUCUCCUUCCCAUCAGGAUAUUCUAGGCGUCUGAGUAUUUCUGCCUCUUUCUGCUGCUUGAAAAAUUUAUCCUAUUUAGGAGGCCAUAGAAAACUAAUUCAGCAAAUAACUUCCUUCCUGGUUAGUGUCGGACUCAGGGCAUAAUUGGGCAGCCAGAGAGGGUCAAGAGGGUUCUCUCUCUCUCACUCACACCACAACACUCUCACAUCAAUAGGCCAACUGCUCCAGUUCUCAACCGUAGUGCACAGAGUACUCAGCUCUAUUGUCCCUGUGGAGGCUCUAUCCCUCCUAGGUACGCUUGAUGGGACAAAUAACACGCCACUGCGAAAAAAACCAUAACAGAGACCAUGUCCUCUCUCCAUUCAGAAGAUCCCUGCACAUUUGCAUCCCCAUAACUCCCAUCGGGAUAUUCUUGGGCUUUUUAGUAUCGUUGCCUUUUCCUGCUGCCUGGAAACAUUUUCCCCUUUUAGAAGGAGACCAUAGGAAGCUCAUGUUCAGCAAAUGACUUCCUUCCUGGUUAGUGUCGGACAGGGCUUAAUAAGGCAGCCAGAAAGGGUCUCUCUCUCACACAUACGUGCAGUACUAGAUGACUGGAGCUCAGAAGCCAGGCAGAUAUGAGUCUUAUGCAACGCCUGUCAUCAUAUCAAGUACAAAGUGUUCCAUACCCCCACUGAGCUACUGUUCUGUUCCAGUCUCACAGGCCCUGUUUAUGGACAUAUUUUUUUCAAACUACAGCAGGAAAGAAAGGAUGGAUAAGAAAAUAGAAGAAAGGGCGCCUUCAGUCUUCUUUGAGAGAGCUUGUUGUAUGACCGCUGGUGGAGUGUGUUGGGGAAAUAGUUUCAUCUGAUCAUUUUAUCAGCAUCUGGAGGAUAUGGGAAAACAUAAUUGUUUCACCGCUGCUGCAUAUAUACACACACAAAAAUUAUAACCAAAUCCUUUCUCGGUCUCAUUCUCUUUUGCUCUCACACCUACGCACCCAGCUGAGAGGAACACUGAAACACAAAUAGAACCCCCACAACCCCAGCUGCCUUGGUUUUCUUUUGACCCUGGGGCUCGACCGGAGGUUCAACCACACGACCGAAUGUGGUCAAAAAGCACUGACCUCCACAAAAGGACCACACCACGACCUCAGAGUGACAGUGACAUUUGGCCCAUCAAAUUAAGCUUCCUUCAAGGGUCCUUCAAAUUCUCUCCAUCUCCCAACAUCUGGUCGUGUUAACUUCACUGCUAAAUCAGAGUUUUCCAAACAGUUCCAGAGCAUUAAAGAAUACACAUCCACCAUCUUCCAUCUGCCUUUUCAGGCUUUCAAUUUACUCUUGAAAGUUGCAAUAAAUAGAAUGCACAGGGUGCAUUUUCAAAAUUGGGAAGUCCAUGAGGAGUUUUCCUCUUGUCAUGUUGGUCAUGGCAGACCUUAGAGAUUAUUUAUUAAUGUCCAGAUCAACUGCCCACUGGGCACAGAUGUCAGUUCAAUGUCUAUUUUUGAUUUAAUUUGUUAACUAACGUGAAUUUAAUGUGAAAUCAACAAAAAAUGACACAAUGACAUUGGAUUUAGGUUCAAAGUUGGGUGAAAAAAAUAUGAAAUUCCCAAACUCCCAAGUGGCGCAGCGGUCUAAGGCACUGCAUCUCAGUGCUUAGAGGAGUCAUUUUGGUAAAUUUCUUCAACAGAUGAUCAAGUCUAUAUAAUUAUCAAACAUAUAUUAGUAAUGGAAAGUAAACACAGACUCUAAGUAUUAAAAAUCUCCUUUAGUAAUACAAUUGUAGGCAGAAGUUGGUACAGAGUACAGUAUAUGAUAGCUCUCCCCAGGUUCUGCAAAAUGUCUAAGACAUCCUGUAACAUAUAGCCUCCCCAGUCCUCCUUGUGUGACUUUCCCUGGCAACAAAUUAUUAUUUUUUCUCCUUA
ensembl:lncRNA